rnacentral:rRNA from 1 species
CCUACGGGAGGCAGCAGUGGGGAAUAUUGGGCAAUGGACGCAAGUCUGACCCAGCGACGCCGCGUGCGGGAUGAAGGCCUUCGGGUUGUAAACCGCUUUCAGCAGGGAAGAAGCGAAAGUGACGGUACCUGCAAAAGAAGCACCGGCUAACUAUGUGCCAGCAGCCGCGGUAAUACAUAGGGUGCAAGCGUUGUCCGGAAUUAUUGGGCGUAAAGAGCUCGUAGGUGGUUAGUUACGUCGGGUGUGAAACUCUGGGGCUCAACCCCAGACCUGCACUCGAUACGGGCUA